rnacentral:rRNA from 1 species
ACGGCUGCUCAGUAACACGUGGACAACCUGCCCUCGGGUGGGGGAUAACCCCGGAAAACUGGGGCUAAUCCCCCAUAGGUGAUGGGUGCUGGAAUGCCCCAUCUCCGAAAGCGCUUAGCGCCCGAGGAUGGGUCUGCGGCGGAUUAGGUAGUUGGUGGGGUAACGGCCCACCAAGCCUAAGAUCCGUACGGGCUGUGGGAGCAGGAGCCCGGAGAUGGACCCUGAGACAAGGGUCCAGGCCCUACGGGGCGCAGCAGGCGCGAAACCUCCGCAAUGCGGGAAACCGCGACGGGGUUAGCCGGAGUGCCCGUGCAUUGCACGGGCUGUCGGGGUGCCUAAACAGCACCCCAUAGCAAGGGCCGGGCAAGGCCGGUGGCAGCCGCCGCGGUAAGACCGGCGGCCCGAGUGGCGGCCACUCUUAUUGGGCCUAAAGCGUCCGUAGCCGGCCCAGUAAGUCCCCCAGGAAAUCUGGUCGCUUAACGAUCAGACUUCCGGGGGAUACUGCUGGGCUAGGGACCGGGAGAGGCCGAGGGUAUUCCCGGGGUAGGGGUGAAAUCCUGUAAUCCCGGGAGGACCACCUGUGGCGAAGGCGCUCGGCUGGAACGGGUCCGACGGUGAGGGACGAAGGCCUGGGGAGCGAACCGGAUUAGAUACCCGGGUAGUCCAGGCUGUAAACGAUGCGGGCUAGGUGUCACCGGAGCUACGAGCUCCGGUGGUGCCGGAGGGAAGCCGUUAAGCCCGCCGCCUGGGAAGUACGGCCGCAAGGCUGAACUUAAAGGAAUUGGCGGGGGAGCAG